UCCUGAAUGACAAUCAGCUGCAAAUCUGAAGUAGAUGCCAAAGGCCACUCGUGAACCAUGAUGCGAACACUGACGGUUCCCAGGCGCUGCUGAUCCGGUGAUGGCAUGCUAGAACUGAAGUCCUGGAGAAGCACAAGAGUGGAGGUGAGGGAUCUCUCCAGCAUGCAGAUACCAAGGGACAUGAACUGAGACCAAACCAUCCCUGCUGCUAAGCCACAGGUGCUGUGUGUGUCACUUGCAGUGCUGAGCCUGUCAGGUAAUGUGGGAUAAGGUUUGACUUGGGUCUCUUAGUCACACAGUAACUACUCAGCACGUCCAUUACUUUUAUGCUGUGAUCCCUGUCCUCACAAAGCUAUUUUUCUCAUUUAAAAUAUAGAAAAAUACUUUCAGGCAUAAUUUAGUACUGUCUUCCACUGCCAAAAUAAGUGGCAGAAAGAAAGUUCACUACAGGUGUGAGCCAGGGCACUAACCUGGUUACUGAAUGUUUUCUGACUUGGAGCAGCACGUGUGCACUAAAGGCCUAAAGCCUCUAAGAUGCCAAGCAGCUGAAGCUCCCUGUGUUCCCAGCUUUUACUGUGUGUCAGGCUGUUCAAUCACCUCUACAUUCAAAGGAGUGACAGAUACACUUCUGAUCCAAAACUGACAUUUGGGGGAACUUCAAGUGGGGAUGUAGGUGCCAGGAAUGAUCGGACAACGACGUCAGAGUAUGUGGUGUCCCAUAUUCUAAAGCAUGAUUAUGAAGGUCAAGUUUUGUUUUUAUAUACACUCAGGGAUAUUUUUCCCCUCUAUUAGUAUCUUGACAUUUCUUUAGCAUUUUACAAACACUGCCUGAAUCUGUUGCCAAUAAUUUAAUAAGUAAAUAGUAUAAACGUUGUAUUACAGGUAACAGAGAGAGGUAUUGUGGUGGGGACUCAGACCCAAACAUGGAAAUAAAGAGUUCCAGGUUUCUAGUUCCCAGGUCAAAUCAGUAUUUUCCUCACUGUUUCAGAUUCAAAACUAGUCACUGCAAGUGCUACAACUAUUAUUUGGGAAAUUAAUAGGAGCUACAGAAGAGUGAUCAGAAGCUCUCAGAAUUAGUCAAUAAAAUCAUAUCUGUUUUUCUGGAAAAAGAAAUACUGUCAGAUUAAUAACUGAUCAUGCUUGGGAAAGAAGUGUUCAAGUAACAAGGUCAUAGCUCAGAGAAGCAGUUUGAAAAAGUGUUAGUAUUCCCUAAGUGCCUGAGGAGGACGACGUCAGAUAUCAACCUAGAGACUGACUGCAUCUCAUGCAGCAGAAGACUCUUCUCAAUACAACAGAAGCUUAAAUCAAAUAAGUAUAAUAUUUAAUAAUAAGUAUAUUGUUUAAUAAAUUAUACAGUAUGUUCUGUGGAUUUCCAAAAAAAUCAUAGUACUUUCUGUUUUUUCAUGAAAAAUGUAGCAUUGACUCAGUGGAAAAACAGUUUCAAGACAAUUUGAGGUCGUUAACCACUGCAGGACCCUAGCAAAAGUGCCGUAUUUUGCUAUAAUAUCCUAUCCAGAAGAAACUUGUUUGUCCAACAGACACAGAAGUGAUAUCAUUAAAAGAUCUUCCUAACAACAAUUCAUACUUUUGUUACUGAAUCUCUUCUGGAUGUAUGCCAGCCAACCUAGGGACACAGCCAUUAGCAGGGUGGAGUUGCAUCCUUCUGUUUACAUUGACUAGCUUGUAGUGCAAAACAUUCUUUUGAAAAGAUGGGCAGAGUCUGGAUUUCAGAUUAGACUAUUCACACACAAGCCUGUUAAUGUGACUUGAGAUGAAGGUGGUGAAGAUUUUUUGAUCCAUUUUAAUGCCAAAAUUAAAUUUCCUACUUUGGGAAAUAUUUUGCUUCCACAAUGCUCUGGUUUAAAACAUGCAAAACACACAGCCAUUGUAAGAUUCAGUUGCUAGACAACAGGGAAGCCAAAUACCCCAGGAGAGGGAGGAAAACUAAAAAAAAUAAAAAAAAAAAAAAAGGAAAAG